rnacentral:siRNA from 1 species
GGGUCAAAAUUCAUGGGCCAACUC